rnacentral:rRNA from 1 species
UACGGAGGGUGCGAGCGUUAAUCGGAAUUAUUGGGCGUAAAGCGUGCGUAGGCGGUUUCGUAAGUCGGGUGUGAAAUCCCCGGGCUCAACCUGGGAAUUGCAUUCGAAACUGCGAGGCUAGGGUACGGAAGAGGGAAGCGGAAUUUCUGGUGUAGCGGUGAAAUGCGUAGAUAUCAGAAGGAACAUCAGUGGCGAAAGCGGCUUCCUGGUCCAGUACCGACGUUCAGGCACGAAAGCGUGGGGAGCAAACAGG